AUACGGAGGGGGCUAGCGUUGUUCGGAAUUACUGGGCGUAAAGCGCGCGUAGGCGGUUUAUCUAGUCAGGCGUGAAAGCCCCGGGCUUAACCUGGGAACUGCGUUUGAUACUGAUAGACUAGAGGCCGGGAGAGGGUAGUGGAAUUCCCAGUGUAGAGGUGAAAUUCGUAGAUAUUGGGAAGAACACCAGUGGCGAAGGCGGCUACCUGGACCGGACCUGACGCUGAGGUGCGAAAGCGUGGGGAGCAAACAGGAUUAGAUACCCCAGUAGUCC
rnacentral:rRNA from 1 species